GACGAACGCUGGCGGCGUGCUUAACACAUGCAAGUCGAACGGAAAGGCCCUGCCUUUGUGGGGUGCUCGAGUGGCGAACGGGUGAGUAACGCGUGAGUAACCUGCCCUUGACUUUGGGAUAACUUCAGGAAACUGGGGCUAAUACCGGAUAGGAGCUCCUGCUGCAUGGUGGGGGUUGGAAAGUUUCGGCGGCUGGGGAUGGACUCGCGGCUUAUCAGCUUGUUGGUGGGGUAGUGGCUUACCAAGGCUUUGACGGGUAGCCGGCCUGAGAGGGUGACCGGCCACAUUGGGACUGAGAUACGGCCCAGACUCCUACGGGAGGCAGCAGUGGGGAAUAUUGCACAAUGGGCGGAAGCCUGAUGCAGCAACGCCGCGUGCGGGAUGACGGCCUUCGGGUUGUAAACCGCUUUCGCCUGUGACGAAGCGUGAGUGACGGUAAUGGGUAAAGAAGCACCGGCUAACUACGUGCCAGCAGCCGCGGUGAUACGUAGGGUGCGAGCGUUGUCCGGAUUUAUUGGGCGUAAAGGGCUCGUAGGUGGUUGAUCGCGUCGGAAGUGUAAUCUUGGGGCUUAACCCUGAGCGUGCUUUCGAUACGGGUUGACUUGAGGAAGGUAGGGGAGAAUGGAAUUCCUGGUGGAGCGGUGGAAUGCGCAGAUAUCAGGAGGAACACCAGUGGCGAAGGCGGUUCUCUGGGCCUUUCCUGACGCUGAGGAGCGAAAGCGUGGGGAGCGAACAGGCUUAGAUACCCUGGUAGUCCACGCUGUAAACGGUGGGUACUAGGUGUGGGGUCCAUUCCACGGGUUCCGUGCCGUAGCUAACGCUUUAAGUACCCCGCCUGGGGAGUACGGCCGCAAGGCUAAAACUCAAAGGAAUUGACGGGGCCCCGCACAAGCGGCGGAGCAUGCGGAUUAAUUCGAUGCAACGCGUAGAACCUUACCUGGGUUUGACAUGGAUCGGGAGUGCUCAGAGAUGGGUGUGCCUCUUUUGGGGUCGGUUCACAGGUGGUGCAUGCCUGUCGUCAGCUCGUGUCGUGAGAUGUUGGGUUAAGUCCCGCAACGGGCGCAACCCUUGUUCACUGUUGCCAGCACGUUAUGGUGGGGACUCAGUGGAGACCGCCGGGGUCAACUCGGAGGAAGGUGGGGAUGACGUCAAGUCCUCAUGCCCCUUAUGUCCAGGGCUUCACGCAUGCUACAAUGGCUGGUACAGAGAGUGGCGAGCCUGUGAGGGUGAGCGAAUCUCGGAAAGCCGGUCUCAGUUCGGAUUGGGGUCUGCAACUCGACCUCAUGAAGUCGGAGUCGCUAGUAAUCGCAGAUCAGCAACGCUGCGGUGAAUACGUUCCCGGGGCU
rnacentral:rRNA from 1 species